CUGCGACCAGUUAAACUAAUCAGGUUCUUUUCUCAAGGGGACCUGGUGUGCAAUGGGUACCAGCAGCAGCCCCCUUGGGAGCGCAUGCGGCCUCUUGCUUGUACGGGUUCUCUAAUGAACCCUGAUGUUGGGU